CGGCGCGGGUCUAACACAUAGCAAGUCUAACGGUAACAGGAAGAAGCUUGCUUCUUUGCUGACGAUAGUCGGACGGGUGAGUAAUGUCUGGGAAACUGCCUGAUGGAGGGGGAUAACUACUGGAAACGGUAGCUAAUACCGCAUAACGUCGCAAGACCAAAGAGGGGGACCUUCGGGCCUCUUGCCAUCGGAUGUGCCCAGAUGGGAUUAGCUAGUAGGUGGGGUAACGGCUCACCUAGGCUACUAUCCCUAGCUGGUCUGAGAGGAUGACCAGCCACUCUGGAACUGAGACACGGUCCAGACUCCUACGGGUGGCAGCAGUGGGGAAUAUUGCACAUUGGGCGCAAGCCUGAUGCAGCUUGCCGCGUGUAUGAAGAAGGCCUUCGGGUUGUAAA
rnacentral:rRNA from 1 species